GAUGAACGCUGGCGGUAUGCUUAACACAUGCAAGUCGAACGGACUCUUCGGAGUUAGUGGCGGGCGGGUGAGUAACGCGUGAGAAUCUGGCUUUGGGUUCGGGACAACCACUGGAAACGGUGGCUAAUACCGGAUGUGCCGAGAGGUAAAAGAGAAAUUGCCUGAAGAUGAGCUCGCGUCUGAUUAGCUAGUUGGUGAGGUAAAGGCUCACCAAGGCAGCGAUCAGUAGCUGGUCUGAGAGGAUGACCAGCCACACUGGGACUGAGACACGGCCCAGACUCCUACGGGAGGCAGCAGUGGGGAAUUGUCCGCAAUGGGCGAAAGCCUGACGGAGCAAUACCGCGUGAGGGAAGAAGGCUCUUGGGUUGUAAACCUCUUUUCUCAGGGAAGAACAAACUGACGGUACCUAAGGAAUCAGCAUCGGCUAACUCCGUG
rnacentral:rRNA from 1 species